GAUGAACGCUGGCGGCGUGCCUAAUACACGCAAGUCGAGCGAACGGACGAGAAGCUUGCUUCUCUGAUGUUAGCGGCGGACGGGUGAGUAGCACGUGGAUAACCUACCUAUAAGACUGGGAUAACUUCGGGAAACCGGAGCUAAUACCGGAUGAUAUUUUGAACCGCAUGGUUCAAAAGUGAAAGACGGUCUUGCUGUCACUUAUAGAUGGAUCCGCGCUGCAUUAGCUAGUUGGUAAGGUAACGGCUUACCAAGGCAACGAUGCAUAGCCGACCUGAGAGGGUGAUCGGCCACACUGGAACUGAGACACGGUCCAGACUCCUACGGGAGGCAGCAGUAGGGAAUCUUCCGCAAUGGGCGAAAGCCUGACGGAGCAACGCCGCGUGAGUGAUGAAGGUCUUCGGAUCGUAAAACUCUGUUAUUAGGGAAGAACAUAUGUGUAAGUAACUGUGCACAUCUUGACGGUACCUAAUCAGAAAGCCACGGCUAACUACGUG
rnacentral:rRNA from 1 species